rnacentral:rRNA from 1 species
AUUGAACGCUGGCGGCAGGCCUAACACAUGCAAGUCGAACGAGUGGCGGACGGGUGAGUAAUGUCUGGGAACCUGCCUGAUGGAGGGGGAUAACUACUGGAAACGGUAGCUAAUACCGCAUACCAUCAGAUGUUCCCCGAUGGGAUUCGCUAGUUGGUGGGGUAACGGCGCACCAGGGCGACGAUCCCUAGCUGGUCUGAGAGGAUGACCAGCCACACUGGAACUGAGACACGGUCCAGACUCCUGAGGGAGGCAGCAGUGGGGAAUAUUGCACAAUGGGCGCAAGCAUUAUGCAGCCAUGCCGCGUGUAUGAAGAAGGCCUUCGGGUUGUAAAGUACUUUCAGCGGGGAGGCGUUACCCGCAGAAGAAGCACCGGCUAACUACGUGCCAGCAGCCGCGGUAAUUC